AUGCACAACCAAAGCCUCUGCUCCACGCCACCAACCGACGACGACAGCGAGCGGGGGCUGCAGGCGGGGGACAGGGACACGUUUCCCCCCCCCCCCAGCACUCGCGUUAUUGCUGCUGGGCCGUCCUCCCCCAGCCCCACUCGGCCGGGGCCGAAGCAAGGAGACGAGACCCCGGAGCAACGCCACCCGCGUGCCCCCCGUGCCCCAUUUCAGGGGGAGGACGGGGCUGCCGGCACCUCUCCAGCCCCGGUGGCACUGCGGGGACGCCGGAUGCGCCCCGGGACGUGGGUGCCUGCCGGGGGGGACAUAGGCACCGAGUCACAAGGCAAAGUCUGGAUAAGGCGAACCCAACCCAACCGAACUGAACCGAACCCAACUAAGGAGCAGCGUCCCCCGAGCGCUGGCCGGGUGCCGCGGGGACGGGCGGGGAGGGGACGCUGUCAUAGGGCCGUGCUCUCCGAGUCCUCCGAGUCCUCCGGGGGGGCUUUCACCGAGAGUCUCUGCGCGGCAUCCGGCGGGUCCCGGCGCAGGGCGGCAUCGACGCCGAGGUGGAUGGACGGGAUCUCGAAAUGGACCAGACCUGCGGCGGGCACAGAUGGGCAGCGUGAGGGGCUGCCACGGGGGGGCACGGACGGGUGCUGGCACACGGCGUGCUCCGACGGGCUGGCAGCGCUUGGUGCCACUGCCGGGGCGGCACACGGGGCUCCAGGUCCCCAUCCCAGCCAGCUGCCUGUCCCCGCACCUGGAGGGACGUCACAGUCCCUCAGCAGGCUGCAGGAACCCACCCAGGGGAGCAGGGGAAAGUCCUGUGCCCUGCUCCUGCAGCUGCCGGCUUGGGGACCCUGCCACAGGUGGCAGCACCCAAAGGCACCCAAGGGUGCAAUGCCAGAGCGCAGCGACAGCUGGGUGCUGUGCUGGGGGGCACAAAGUAUGGGUGCUGUGCUGGGGGGCACAAAGUAUGGGUGCUGUGCUGGGGUCACCACGUAUGUGCGCCGUGCCAGGGGCACCGUGCCUGGGAGCGAUGCCCGGUGCAGUUCCCAGGUGCACCGACGCCUGGGUGCAGCACUGGGGCUGCAUCUCCUGGGCGCCCUGGUGCUGAGCUGCCUCCGCGCCUGGCUGCAGACCCACUGCAGUGCCCGGGGGCACCACGCUGGGGUGCGCUGUGGGGGCUGCACCGAGGCCCGGGCACAGCACUGGGGGCUGCAGGGGGACGCAGCACGCCUGGGGACAGCCCGACCCCACCGCUGCACGUCCCCCCCCGUCCCAUCCCCUCCACUCUCACUGUGUCACCGGGCACAUCAAGGUCCUGUGCGUGGGGACACCCGGCUGCCAGCCACACUGCGCCCUGCAGGACACGCGGUGCCCCUGGGGCACCAAGCUCUGCCAGCACCACGUCCCCAGGCUGUCCCCACCACCAAAGUGUCCCCUGAGAUGCCCAAGAUGGGGAAAUGCCCCCCCCCCCGCCACCACGUCCUGCCACCCCUCUGCAAAGCCCCUCGGGAGGCCAGCUGGGGACGCCAGCGGCUGCCCGCUGCCGCUUUGCUUCUCCGGGGCCGCGGGGCAGGAGGGAGCCAGCGGCACGAGGAAGCCGGAGCCAGGUGA
rnacentral:lncRNA from 1 species